GCCCGGGUAGCUCAAUGGUCAGAGCGUGUGGCUUUUAUGUUGAAGUCUACCUCAAGGUUGGGGGUUCGAGUCCCCCCUCGGGCG